rnacentral:tRNA from 1 species
UCCGGGGUAGCUCAAUCGGCAGAGCGUCCGGCUGUUAACCGGCAGGUUGCGGGUUCGAGUCCCGCCCCCGGAG